CGCGGCCUAUCAGCUUGUUGGUGAGGUAAUGGCUCACCAAGGCGAUGACGGGUAGCUGGACUGAGAGGUCGAUCAGCCACAAGGGCACUGAGACACGGGCCCUACAUCUACGGAUGGCAGCAACCGGGAAUCUUCCGCAAUGGACGAAAGUCUGACGGAGCGACGCCGCGUGGAGGAUGACAGCCUUCGGGUUGUAAACUCCUUUUAUUGUACCCUUCACAGUACAUUGAAUAAGCCUUUACUAACUACGUGCCAGAAGUCUCGGUAAUACGUAGGAGGCAAGCGUUAUCCGGAUUAACUGGGCGUAAAGCGUGCGUAGGCGGUUUUGUAAGUCGUCUUUUAAAUCCUGUGGCUCAACCACAGUUUUGGAGUCGAUACUGCAUUACUUGAGGAUCGUUCGGGGCAUCGGAACAGUUGGUGUAGCGGUGAAAUGCGUUGAUAUCAACUGGAACACCGAAGGCGAAGGCAGAUACCUGGGAUUUUCCUGACGCUGAGGUACGAAAGCUAGGGUAGCGAAAGGGAUUAGAGACCCCUGUAGUCCCAGCCGUAAACGAUGGAUGCUAGCUUCGGGUGUAUGCCUGAGGCGUAAGCUAACGCGUUAAGCACCCCGCCUGGGGAGUACGG
rnacentral:rRNA from 1 species